rnacentral:lncRNA from 1 species
AACUGAAAUUAUAGUUUUGACUCUAAAGAUAAGUUUAAAAGAAGUUUCUCCAAUUGAAAUUUGAUAUAUAAUUCUGUAGAUCCAUAGAACACUGUAAAGUUCUUCAGCCCAUAACCCCUUUAUUUCUGUAAGCCUUGUCUUUAAUCCUUGAAGAAUAAUCAUGUUCGUAACCUCAGCUUCACCAUUCGACUAUGGAUACCCGACAGAAGUAAGCCGAUG